GUCUAUGGCCAUACCACCCUGAACACACUGAUCUGGUCUGAUCUCAGAAGCUAAGCAGAGUCAGACCUGGUUAGUACUUGAAUGGGAGAAGAAAAACAAACCCUUGUGCACUGCUGGUAGGAAUGCAAA
ensembl:rRNA 5S_rRNA 5S ribosomal RNA